rnacentral:lncRNA from 12 species
UUAAGGUUGUGCAAUAUAUUCAAGUUUACUAAGAAGCCAAUUUAUGGACUAUUGAAUAUACCAAAUAAUAUUAACUAGAUUUUUCUGAGGCAAUAAUUUUGCAAGAUUUUUUCAAAUGAAUUUAAAAAAUUUAAUUUACAGUGUAAAUAUAGUAAUAUUUCUCCAUUUUAUAUUAUUAUGUACAUCGGGGUUAUUUCUAGAACUAUUCUCUUUUAUAUUGUCCUGCUCUGACCACAGAUCUGAGAUUUGUGAGAUGGAAAUUAUUUAUUAUUUUUAUUAUUAUUAUUAUUAUUAUUAUUAUUAUUAUUAUUAAUUUUAAUUUGAUAUAUUUAUACUGUAUGUUCUGGGUUAGGGAUGCCUGCAGCCUCUCAGAAUGUCUUAUCGUUCAGCCUGUGUGGCAAGCGGACCCUAGCAGCUGCGUUAUUUUGUGGUUGGCUGCUUCUUAUUGGAAUUGAUCCACGGACCACUGAGACCAUAUUAUGACUCCGUGGAAGAGGAGAGCGAUACGAAAAGGGGGUGUUGGUUACUGUUGUGAAUGCAUUCAUGGAUUUGCACUCCUGUGCCCUGUAUGUGUUCCCUGAGCGAAUAUCCUUUAAUUCAUGUAACGUUCUGAGCACUGCCCUUAACUCUUGUACCGAUGUCUUUUCUUUAUCCAUAGCAUCCCGUAAGGAAUUCCAGAAGAGUUCUGACGGCACCCGUUCAUCUCUCUCUUCCCCUAAGAGACUUGCUGUAGUGUCGCCUAAACCGCAGUCUCCAGUCCUUCAGAGGCAACAGAGGGCAACAGUGGUGAUCCGAGGCUCAAGCAUGCAGAUUUUGCCUCGUACUGGCUCUCCGGGCCCAGAGAAGAAAAAAGAAGAAGAGCAGAAGAAAGAAAAAGAGCGAGAGGAAGUAGAGAGGAAUGAAGAGAUGCAGCUCUUGCAGGGUCGCUGUGAAGAACAGGCCAGGCAACUACACACUCUUCAGACAGAACUAAAGAAAACCAGCAUGAGUCUGGAGGUCUUUGUGAUCUGCACUCAGCACUUCUCCCUCAAGGUAUUUUUUAAAGAUUACAUUCAGCUAAAAAUGUAUUUGGCCAAACAUUCAUUAUUAUUAUUACUUUAUACAUUUUAGAUUAAAAUCACCACAACUAUAAA